rnacentral:rRNA from 1 species
GGUUCCGUAGGUAACCUGCGCAGGGAUCAUUA